rnacentral:misc_RNA from 1 species
UACGUAGGGGGCAAGCGUUGUCCGGAAUUAUUGGGCGUAAAGGGUGCGUAGGCGGCUAUUUAAGUCCUGUGUGAAAUGCCCCGGCUUAACCGGGGAGGGCCAUGGGAAACUGGAUAGCUUGAGUAUCGGAGAGGGUUGCGGAAUUCCCAGUGUAGCGGUGAAAUGCGUAGAUAUUGGGAAGAACACCAGUGGCGAAGGCGGCAACCUGGACGAUGACUGACGCUGAGGCACGACAGCUGGGGGAGCAAACAGG